AUAAGUUACUAAGAGAUUAUGGUGGAUGCCUAGGGACUUGAAGGCGACGAAGGACGUGCUAAUCUGCGAUAAGCUACGGUAAGCUGAUAAGAAGCUGUGACCCGUAGAUCUCCGAAUGAGGAAACUCCCAACAUGGAAACGUGCUGGAUCUUUAACUGAAUACAUAGGUUAUUGAGGCGAUACCUUGCGAAGUGAAACAUCUCAGUAGCAAGAGGAAAAGAAAACGAAUGUGAUUCCGUCAGUAGCGGCGAGCGAAAGCGGAACAGGCCAAACCGGGUAACCGGGGUUGUAGGACUACAAUGUGGACUUAGGAUGGAUAGAAGAAGUAGUUGGGAAGCUACAUCAUAGAGGGUGAUAAUCCCGUAUUCGAAAUCUAUUCUAUACCUAGUAGUAUCCUGAGUACGGCGGGACACGUGGAAUCCUGUCGGAAUCCGCCCAGACCAUUGGGCAAGCCUAAAUACUAACAAGUCACCGAUAGCGCAUAGUACCGUGAGGGAAAGGUGAAAAGAACCCAGGGAUGGGAGUGAAAUAGAAUCUGAAACCAUAAUCUUACAACGUGUUAGAGCACAUUAAUGUGUAAUAGCGUGCGUUUUGAAGUAUGAGCCGGCGAGUUAUUGUAGCAUGCAAGGUUAAGCUGUAGAGGUGGAGCCGUAGGGAAACCGAGUCUUAAUAGGGCGUUUAGUAUGUUGCAAUAGACCCGAAACGGGAUGAUCUAGCCAUGAGCAGGUUGAAGUUUAGGUAACACUAAAUGGAGGACCGAACCCACGUUCGUUGAAACGACCGGGGAUGACUUGUGGCUAGCGGUGAAAUUCCAAUCGAAUUCCGUGAUAGCUGGUUCUUGCCGAAAUAAUUUUAGGAUUAGCGUUGGAUAAUGAAAAUGUGAAGGUAGAGCACUGAAUACCUGAUGGCGCCACCUCGGUGUACUGAAUGUAAUCAAACUCCGAAUGUCAUAUUUUUUAUUCCAGCAGUCAGACUGUGGGGGAUAAGCUUCAUAGUCGCGAGGGAAACAGCCCAGAUCGUUAGCUAAGGUCCCAAAUAUAUGCUAAGUGGAAAAGGAUGUCGAGAUACUUAGACAGCUAGGAUGUUGGCUUAGAAGCAGCCACCAUUUAAAGAGUGCGUAAUAGCUCACUAGUCGAGUGUUUCGGUGCCGAAGAUUCAACGGGGCUAAGCAUAUAACCGAAGCUACGGGUUCCGUAAGGAGCGGUAGGCAAGCGUUUUAUACAGGAUGAAGGUAGAUCGUGAGAACUAUUGGACAGUAUAAAAGUGAGAAUGCCGGCAUGAGUAACGUAUGGAAGUGAGAAUCUUCCAAGCCGUAUUGACCAAGGUUUCCAGGAGUAGGUUCGUCCAUCCUGGGUUAGUCGGUCCUAAGGUGAGGCUGAAAAGCGUAGCCGAUGGAAAACAGGUUAAUAUUCCUGUACCAACGAUGUGAGUGAUGGAGUGACGGAGAAGGUUAUUAUGAGCCAGUUAUCGGAUUCUGGUUUAAAUAGCAAGUCUUGUGGGUUGGCAAAUCCGCCCACUUCAAGGACAAGUUAUGAGUACAACGGAUCCCUUCGGGGUGAAGAAAGUCAUAUAUAUCAUGCUUCCAAGAAAAGCUUCUAGCUUAUCACAUAGUUGACCGUACCGAGAACGAACACACGUGGUCAAGGAGAGUAUCCUAAGGCUAGCGAGUUAACUAUUGUUAAGGAACUCUGCAAAUUAAUCCCGUAAGUUCGCGAGAAGGGAUGCUCACCUCUGGUGAGCCGCAGUGAAGAGCGAGGGGGGACUGUUUAACAAAAACACAGCUUUAUGCUAAACCGUAAGGUGAUGUAUAUGAGGUGACACCUGCCCAGUGCCGGAAGGUUAAGGAUGGGGGUUAGGCGUAAGCCGAAGCUCCUUACCGAAGCCCUGGUGAACGGCGGCCGUAACUAUAACGGUCCUAAGGUAGCGAAAUUCCUUGUCGGGUAAAUUCCGUCCCGCUUGAAUGGUGUAACCAUCUCUUGACU
rnacentral:rRNA from 1 species